rnacentral:piRNA from 1 species
UACGUGGAGGAUAAUUUCCUGGGCCACCU